UUUGGGAUAUCCAUCAUUAACUGUCUAAGGUAGUCAUAUCAGUUUGCUGAUUUCAGUUUUCCAUUGUCCAUUCUUUUUAUUGUGAGAUCCCCUUGAAUGCAACUUAAAAUUAAAGGCAAGAUCGUGAAUUAAGGAUUUCUUAACCAGUUUGAGAAAUUCAGCUUUGCUGAGUAACUGUAGUAGUAACAAUGUUUAUUUAAGAAGUGCUUAACCAGAUCAGAUCAAAGUCUGCUUUGUCCAGCAAGAUUCCGUGAAUGUCCACUAAAAACUGAUCAGUGCUGCCUUGAAUCUUCUGUAAACAUACCUGCUUAUUUUUUCUUAAUCUCCUAUUUUUCAACUAUGUAUGUAAUUCAAGACUGCUCACAAACAAGAAUAAAAGGAACAUAAGAGCUUAAGUUAUACAGAAAAAAAAUCAUUUGAAAAAGUUAAUUCCAAUGAAUCACAUGAAAAAUCUGCUGUAGUUUGAUGCCUGACUGGAGAAUUGUUGGCAUGACAUUCACAUCUUUUUCUUCAACCAGAACCAAGAAUGACAACAUGAAAUCCUGAACCAAGACUUGUUCAAGCUUUGGCGAUCACUUUAAAGCUUGGGAUCUGGGUGCUUGAAGGCUCUCCUAUUUAAUGGAAAGCUGCCUGUGCAGCACCUGUCUUUUCAAGAAAGGAUAAUAGACAGGCGAUCUGGCUUUCCUGGCUGGGAUCCACUGACUUUGCAUUUUUUUCUGCGGGGAGGCUGCCCUUGCAUCUCUACCCAAGGAGUGUUUUAUUCUCCCAGGCCCUUAAAAUUCUGGUUGUAUUGGUUUUAUGUGCAAUUAAAUUCUGUGACUGCUAUUUCA